AUGGUCUGGGCGAGGGGUAUACCAGUCAGGGAACCUCCCCAUCCUUCUCAGCAGCCUCGUGUAAGGAGACUCCGGCAUCAGAGCCUCCUCAUCCUCGUCGAUCUCUUCCUGCGUUUUCGGCAGCCCAUCAGGGACGGGGAAAGGCCUCGGCUUCGCUGUUUGCCCCGGGGAGUUUGA
rnacentral:rRNA from 1 species